UACGGAGGGUGCAAGCGUUAUCCGGAUUCACUGGGUGUAAAGGGUGCGUAGGUGGGCUGGUAAGUCCGUGGUGAAAUCUCCGAGCUUAACUCGGAAACUGCCGUGGAUACUAUUAGUCUUGAAUACUGUGGAGGUAAGCGGAAUAUGUCAUGUAGCGGUGAAAUGCUUAGAUAUGACAUAGAACACCGAUAGCGAAGGCAGCUUGCUACACAGUCAUUGACACUGAGGCACGAAAGCGUGGGGAGCAAACAGG
rnacentral:rRNA from 1 species